rnacentral:ncRNA from 1 species
AAUCCGCACUAGGGGCGCCUGCUGGCUGAGAUGUAGUGAUACAAACCCUUUAACUUGAUCUAGUUAACACUAGCGUAAGGAAGUGCUAUCAAGGGUGU